rnacentral:rRNA from 1 species
GACAGAGGGUGCAAACGUUGUUCGGAAUUACUGGGCGUAAAGCGUGUGUAGGCGGCCACGUAAGUCAGGUGUGAAAGCCCCAGGCUUAACCUGGGAAGUGCACUUGAUACUGCAUGGCUUGAGUAUCGGAGAGGUUGGUGGAAUUCUCGGUGUAGAGGUGAAAUUCGUAGAUAUCGAGAGGAACACCGGUGGCGAGGGCGGCCAACUGGACGAAUACUGACGCUGAGACACGAAAGCGUGGGGAGCAAACAGG